rnacentral:misc_RNA from 1 species
CAGAGUUCCUGCCCUCACGGGUAGAAACCCCACCCUUGUGUAUACUAUAUUGUUGCUUUGGCAGGCCGCCUUACGGCGUUGGCUUACGUUGACCGUGCCUGCUAGAGGACCCUAAACUCUGAAAUACAGUGUCGUCUGAGUACUAUUUAAUAGUUA